AAACCAACAGGGAUUGCCUCAGUAACGGCGAGUGAAGCGGCAAAAGCUCAAAUUUGAAAUCUGGCACCUUCGGUGUCCGAGUUGUAAUUUGAAGAAGGUAACUUUGGAGUUGGCUCUUGUCUAUGUUCCUUGGAACAGGACGUCACAGAGGGUGAGAAUCCCGUGCGAUGAGAUGUCCAACUCUAUGUAAAGUGCUUUCGAAGAGUCGAGUUGUUUGGGAAUGCAGCUCUAAGUGGGUGGUAAAUUCCAUCUAAAGCUAAAUAUUGGCGAGAGACCGAUAGCGAACAAGUACAGUGAUGGAAAGAUGAAAAGAACUUUGAAAAGAGAGUGAAAAAGUACGUGAAAUUGUUGAAAGGGAAGGGCUUGAGAUCAGACUUGGUAUUUUGCAAGCCUUACCUUCGUGGUGGGGUCCCCUGCAGUUUACUGGGCCAGCAUCGGUUUGGAUGGUAGGAUAAUGACUUGGGAAUGUGGCUUUGCUUCGGUAAAGUGUUAUAGCCCUUGUUGAUACUACCUGUCUAGACCGAGGACUGCGUCUUUGACUAGGAUGCUGGCAUAAUGAUCUUAAGNCGCCCGUCUUG
rnacentral:rRNA from 1 species